UAGCAUAUCAAUAAGCGGAGGAAAAGAAACCAACAGGGAUUGCCCUAGUAACGGCGAGUGAAGCGGCAACAGCUCAAAUUUGAAAUCUGGCUCUUUUAGAGUCCGAGUUGUAAUUUGCAGAGGGCGCUUUGGCGUUGGGAGCGGUCCAAGUUCUUUGGAACAGGACGUCACAGAGGGUGAGAAUCCCGUACGUGGUCGCUAUCCUUCGCCGUGUAAAGCCCCUUCGACGAGUCGAGUUGUUUGGGAAUGCAGCUCUAAAUGGGAGGUAAAUUUCUUCUAAAGCUAAAUACUGGCCAGAGACCGAUAGCGCACAAGUAGAGUGAUCGAAAGAUGAAAAGCACUUUGGAAAGAGAGUCAAAUAGCACGUGAAAUUGUUGAAAGGGAAGCGCUUGCAGCCAGACUUGCCUGUAGUUGCUUAUCUGGACUUUUGUCCAGUGCACUCUUCUGCGGGCAGGCCAGCAUCAGUUUGGGCGGUUGGAUAAAGGUCUCUGUCAUGUACCUCCUUUCGGGGAGGCCUUAUAGGGGAGACGACAUGCAACCAGCCUGGACUGAGGUCCGCGCAUCUGCUAGGAUGCUGGCGUAAUGGCUGUAAGCGGCCCGUCUUGAAACACGGACCAAGGAGUCUAACAUCUAUGCGAGUGUUUGGGUGUCAAGCCCAGACGCGUAAUGAAAGUGAACGGAGGUGGGAACCUUUUAGGUGCACCAUCGACCGAUCCUGAUGUCUUCGGAAGGAUUUGAGUAAGAGCAUAGCUGUUGGGACCCGAAAGAUGGUGAACUAUGCUUGAAUAGGGUGAAGCCAGAGGAAACUCUGGUGGAGGCUCGCAGCGGUUCUGACGUGCAAAUCGAUCGUCAAAUUUGGGCAUAGGGGCGAAAGACUAAUCGAACUAUCUAGUAGCUGGUUCCUGCCGAAGUUUCCCUCAGGAUAGCAGUAACGUAUUCAGUUUUAUGAGGUAAAGCGAAUGAUUAGAGGCCUGGGGGUUGAAACAACCUUCACCUAUUCUCAAACUUUAAAUAUGUAAGAAGUCCUUGUUACUUGAUUGAACGUGGACACUUGAAUGUACCGUUACUAGUGGGCCAUUUUUGGUAAGCAGAACUGGCGAUGCGGGAUGAACCGAACGCGGGGUUAAGGUGCCAGAAUAUACGCUCAUCAGACACCACAAAAGGUGUUAGUUCAUCUAGACAGCAGGACGGUGGCCAUGGAAGUCGGAAUCCGCUAAGGAGUGUGUAACAACUCACCUGCCGAAUGAACUAGCCCUGAAAAUGGAUGGCGCUCAAGCGUAUUACCCAUACCCC
rnacentral:rRNA from 1 species